rnacentral:rRNA from 1 species
CACGAAGGGUGCAAGCGUUACUCGGAAUUACUGGGCGUAAAGGGUGCGUAGGUGGUUGUUUAAGUCUGUUGUGAAAGCCCCGGGCUCAACCUGGGAAUGGCAAUGGAUACUGGACAGCUGGAGUGCGGUAGAGGGUAGUGGAAUUCCCGGUGUAGCAGUGAAAUGCGUAGAGAUCGGGAGGAACACCAGUGGCGAAGGCGGCUACCUGGACCAGCACUGACACUGAAGCACGAAAGCGUGGGGAGCAAACAGG